UGUUUAACCUGUGUUUAUCUAAAGGAAGUUUUUGUCCUUUGGGUUGUUUUCGAUUGGGCUUGGGUAACUUUUCUGAGCAUGGCUCUCGGAAGAGCAGCCAGAAUGGGGUUGGUUUUUUUUAUUAUUUUUGUUUUUUUAAAUCCGAGCUAUGUAAUAAAGAGGGAUUGUCCCAAGGGCACAAGGAAAGGCAGCUCCUGAGUGCUGGAAUUCCUGCCAGCGUCCCUUUGUGCCAGCCUCUGCUCGGCCUUUGGCGUCUCGUUUGGAUGAAGCCUGGCAUGCAGGCACCGCCCAUUUCUUAGCGCCGAGCUGUUAGGAGAAGGAAAGGGGGGAGAGAGAGAGAGAGAGAGAGGAGGGGAAAAAAAAAAAGCUGCCUCCCUCAAACUGGCCUUUCUCGAAAAAGGAUCCUUCCCCGAUGAUUGUCCGGAAAAGCGGAGCUAAAUCCAGUGGCUACUUCAACAACCAAACUAUUCUCCUCCACGGUGCGUCUCUCUCGCUGGCUUGGGUUGCUGUGCACUGUUCAACGCUUGCUGUAUUUCACCCCAGAGGUGGCUGCAUUUCAGUGGCGGAUGCAGCGCUUCCUGUGUCUUGCCCAAGCAGCAGUGCUUCCUCAGUCACAGGGAGAAGGCUUCUUUAUACUCUGGGACAUUUGACCAGCACAGCUUGACAUCAAUAGCCAGAACACCCUACCACACCUUGACCACCACCGCUGUCCAAUCCUCCCCUCCCAGCCAGCAAUGCUGAUCAGUGAUUCAGCAGGCCAUGCUGACAUCCUGGAGGAUGGCAGGACACACAGAAGGGCAUGGAAGAUCAACAACAUAAGAAGCACCGGGUUAAAAGCAGUCGGUGUCAUCCAAACAGCUGAUGGGACAAAACUGAACAGGAUUCUGCCUAUGUCUAAAGAAGUUUGGUCUACAGCAUCCACAUCUACUGUGCAUCCAAAUCCAAUUUGGAAUGUGUCCCGGUUAUUUGAUCCAGGUGAAAGCAUCACUCUUUCUAGCUGGUGGAGGUCUGUCUCAUUCAGUGAACUUUCUGGAUGGAAGAGAAGGAGCUGGGGUUGGGAAAUCAUCCAGAAUGGACUCAGGGCACAGUUCAGAGGCAAAGUCACAUGUACAAGUUGAAUGCACUCUGGCUGUAGGCCAUAGGAGAAGACCCUGAACUGGAUUUCUGUGCCCAGCUGAGAUGGACCCUCAAUGCCACCACCAUGAGGAGAAGAACCUCAACUGCAUUUCUAGGCUCUUGU